CAGUCGCCACGGGAAUACGUAGGUGACGAGUGUUGUCCGGAUUUAUUGGGCGUAAAGGGAGUGUAGGCGGUCUUUUAAGUCUGAUGUGAAAGCCCACGGCUCAACCGUGGAGGGUCAUUGGAAACUGGGAGACUUGAGUGCAGAAGAGGAGAGCGGAAUUCCAUGUGUAGCGGUGAAAUGCGUAGAUAUAUGGAGGAACACCAGUGGCGAAGGCGGCUCUCUGGUCUGUAACUGACGCUGAGGCUCGAAAGCGUGGGGAGCAAACAGGAUUAGAUACCCCUGUAGUCCCUGUCCUUAUACA
rnacentral:rRNA from 1 species